UACACACCGCCCGUCACACCAUGGGAGUUGGCUUUACCUGAAGGCACUGCGCUAACCGCAAGGGGCAGGUGACCACGGUAGGGUCAGCGACUGGGUG
rnacentral:rRNA from 1 species